rnacentral:rRNA from 1 species
UACCUGUCAUCCUGCCAAGGGUGCCGCAGGGUAGCUAUGUAUGGACGGGAUAACCGCUGAAAGCAUCUAAGCGGGAAGCCUCCCUUGAGAUUAGGUAUCUUCGAACCGUCGUAGACCACGACGUUGAUAGGCCGGGUGUGGAAGUGCGGUAACGCAUGGAGCUAACCGGUCCUAAUAGUUCUGUUCGCGCUUGA